ensembl:lncRNA
AGGCAGAGGAGUUCGGUAGCAGGAUGUUGCAGGUUCUACUGUCCUUUUCUGCAACUUUACAUCAUUAGACCAGCACAGAGACAUACAAAAAGGACCAGGAACAGACCAGCAGCUCUACAGCACACACACACACACACACACACACACACACACACACACACACACACACACACACACACACACACACUACAGAAUAUGUGUUUAUGGUCAUGUAUGAAGAUGGUGUGUUUGUUCUGUUCCUGGUUGGUCUGUAUUGUCUCUGUUUCUGUCUCCAGGUUCCUCUGCCAUCAUCAUCGGUGUGUGUGUCUGUGUGGCUCUGCUGCUGAUUGGAGGAUUUGCACUGAUGAUCUACAAACUGAGACACAAGAGAACACAAGAUUAUACACCUUCAUCCAAGAGUAAAGACAAUAAAC